rnacentral:rRNA from 1 species
GACAGAGGAUGCAAGCGUUAUCCGGAAUGAUUGGGCGUAAAGCGUCUGUAGGUGGCUUUUCAAGUCCGCCGUCAAAUCCCAGGGCUCAACCCUGGACAGGCGGUGGAAACUACCAAGCUGGAGUACGGUAGGGGCAGAGGGCUCGUAGAGCCGGUGGAGCGGUGAAAUGCGUAGAGAUCAGGCGGAACACCCGUGGCGAAGGCGGCCAGCUGGGCCGUCCCUGACGCUGAGGCGCGAAGGCGUGGGGAGCGAACGGG